rnacentral:rRNA from 1 species
UACGGAGGGUGCAAGCGUUAAUCGGAAUUACUGGGCGUAAAGCGCACGCAGGCGGUUUGUUAAGUUAGAUGUGAAAUCCCCGGGCUUAACCUGGGAACUGCAUUUAAGACUGGCAGGCUAGAGUCUUGUAGAGGGGGGUAGAAUUCCAUGUGUAGCGGUGAAAUGCGUAGAGAUGUGGAGGAAUACCGGUGGCGAAGGCGGCCCCCUGGACAAAGACUGACGCUCAGGUGCGAAAGCGUGGGGAGCAAACAGG